rnacentral:tRNA from 1 species
GCGAAAGUGGCGGAACUGGCAGACGCGCAGGAUUCAGGAUCCUGUGGGGUCACACCCGUGGGGGUUCAAGUCCCCCCUUUCGCA